GACAUCCAAAGAAUGGCAAAAAAUAUUCCACCACCACUGCCCAAAAGACGUUAAAAAGCAGCUUGGUGAGAUAUGGAAUGAGUUUUGGCAGAUGAUGGCGGAUACGGCAGGGACAAUGAAGGCUACAUUGCUAAGACUUGACAAAGCCGAGCAUCGCAUAGACGUUGUGGAAACGCUUGACGUGGAAAUGAAAGUGUCUCUCGCAUACAUGAAGAAAACCCGGCAAGAUUUGAAGGCACAAAUCACUCAGCUCGAAGGCCACUCACGUCGAAAUAAUAUUCGUAUUUAUUCUCUUAAAGAUGGCGUUGAGGGAGCUUCUAUGAUACACUUUGUGGAAAGCCUACUGAAAAACGAGUUGGCUGAGAGUGCGGGUGUCACAGAACUGGGGACUGAGCUCGCACACAGAUCCCUGGGCCCGAGGCCACACGACGACGUGCCCCCGUGGUCUGUCUUGAAAUUCCUGAAAUAUACCAUCAAGGAGAAGAUUAUCAGUGCUGCCUGGAAAAAGAAAAUAAGCUUUGAUGGACAGUGUUUUUCGAUCACAAUCACGCCACUGACGUGAUGGACAAGAGGAAAGAAUAUACCUUCCUGUUAAAAGGUGCUGAAACAAAGAAGGAUACACUUCCACACGGUCGUGACAAGGAUGCGUGUGUUUUUGGGCUCUGGGACAGUGACUUAUGUUAAUGCUAAUCAAGCCGUGGAAGAUCUACGUGCGAAGGCCUUUCCUAUCCACCUUAUGCCAAAGUGGAGUGGACCAGAUCAGCUAACAUUCUCCUGGGAGCGAGCGAGGGUGAGGAGGGGAGAGACCGGGAGCGGCUACCAUCAGAGAGUCAGACGAGCUUCAGGAGUUCCACCACCGGCCGGCUGAUCCCAACGCUGAGGACACAUCAUCUCCACUUACGCAAAUAUGAAGGACUGUUUUUGACACGUUUGUAUAACCCAAGUCACCCGCGAUAAACAAGUAUUAUUUUAUACUCGUAUGCUUGGCCCACUAGAGUUAUUCAUUAUUUCAUAGUAACGCCAAUACCCCAACCUCAUAUUUGUGGAAGAAAUUUUUUCAUGUUACUAUUAGGGGAUGGCUGACUGAACAGGCACCCUUUCUACUUUUGUGUUUGUGACCAGAGGACCUUUGUGGCUGGGACGGCGGUGGGAUCAAACACCAAACUGCUCGCCUGAAGACCAAAACUCUACCAGUCACAGGUGCAUGUUCCAGUGCUACCCACAUCCUGCCGACAACGCUAGUUUGUGACCAGAGGACCUAUCUUUGUGGCCGGGACGGCGGUGGGAUCGAACACCAGACUGCUCAAACUGAAGACCAAAACUCUACCAGGUCAGCCAAAGGUGAAAUUACUGAGACUUUUCAGACCACUCCACUGUGCAUUUAAAAUUGCAUUUGGAUAACAGCCGCAAAUCAACAUUGUGGAGAUUCAGUGUUGGCCUGCUAAAUGACUUUAGAUUUAAAGAGAGAAUGAAACAGCAUUUACAAACUUAUUUAGAGAAUAACAAUGAUAGUGUAAAUCCUGCAUGAUUUUGGGAUGCAUUUAAGGCAGUCCUAUGAGGUUUUAUAAUAUCAGAAACCACCUCUGCUAAAAAAAAAAAAUGAAGAAACUGAUUAAUGCACAAAAACAACUUACGGAACUUGAAAGACAGCACAGUGAAAUAAAGAACCAACAACUACUU